GUCAUGCCGCAAUGUAACAGUGGAACUAUGACACCGUAUACUACUGUAGCAAUAUUCAGACCCGAUGGCAUGUUAGAACCAAACACGGCUGGUAUUUUUACAGAAUGCCUCAGUGGUGGCGAAGGAUUUUCGAUCGUUCGCCAAACUUGCACGUCCUUCCCGACCGUCAUUCAUGUCAACGGAACAGCUGUUGGUCAAGUUGAUAACAACCCGAACCAUUACUCCAUCGUGUUGUGAAACAAUUUUCAUCUAACGCGUGUUGUAUAAUGCAUGACUUCACUUAAGAAUAAAUUCGUUCCCGAAUGA